CACGUAGGGUGCGAGCGUUGUCCGGAAUUAUUGGGCGUAAAGAGCUCGUAGGCGGUGUGUCGCGUCGGCCGUGAAAACCUGCAGCUUAACUGUGGGCUUGCGGCCGAUACGGGCAUCACUGGAGUUCGGCAGGGGAGACUGGAAUUCCUGGUGUAGCGGUGAAAUGCGCAGAUAUCAGGAGGAACACCGGUGGCGAAGGCGGGUCUCUGGGCCGAUACUGACGCUGAGGAGCGAAAGCGUGGGGAGCGAACAGG
rnacentral:rRNA from 1 species